rnacentral:ncRNA from 1 species
GGCCCGUGCUGAACAUCAUGCCUGUCGUGGCUUGGUUCCCUUCAUCAGGUGCCUUGCUUUGGCCGGCGCGUUUACUUUGAAAAAAUUAGAGUGCUCAACGCAGGCGAUUCGCCUGAAUAACAGUGCAUGGAAUAAUAGAACAAGAUCCUGUUUCUGUUCUGUUGGUUUUUGGAAUACAGGAUAAUGAUUAAGAGGGACAGACGGGGGCAUUCGUAUUGCGGCGCUAGAGGUGAAAUUCUUGGACCGUCGCAAGACGAACUACUGCGAAAGCAUUUGCCAAGAAUGUUUUCAUUGAUCAAGAACGAAAGUUAGAGGUUCGAAGGCGAUCAGAUACCGCCCUAGUUCUAACCAUAAACGAUGCCAACCAGCGAUCCGCCUGAGUUACUCAAAUGACUCGGCGGGCAGCUUCCGGGAAACCAAAGUAUUUGGGUUCCGGGGGAAGUAUGGUUGCAAAGCUGAAACUUAAAGGAAUUGACGGAAGGGCACCACCAGGAGUGGAGCCUGCGGCUUAAUUUGACUCAACACGGGAAAACUUACCCGGCCCGGACACUGGGAGGAUUGACAGAUUGAGAGCUCUUUCUUGAUUCGGUGGAUGGUGGUGCAUGGCCGUUCUUAGUUGGUGGAGCGAUUUGUCUGGUUAAUUCCGAUAACGAACGAGACUCUAGCCUAUUAAAUAGGUGCGUGGUUCUCUGCACCUUGCACCCUUCUUAGAGGGACAAGCGGCUCCUAGCCGCACGAAACAGAGCAAUAACAGGUCUGUGAUGCCCUUAGAUGUCCGGGGCCGCACGCGCGCUACACUGAAGGAAGCAGCGUGUUUUUAUCCCUGUCUGUAAAGACUGGGUAACCCGUGGAACCUCCUUCGUGAUUGGGAUAGGGGCUUGCAAUUGUUCCCCUUGAACGAGGAAUUCCCAGUAAGCGCGAGUCAUAAGCUCGCGUUGAUUACGUCCCUGCCCUUUGUACACACCGCCCGUCGCUACUACCGAUUGAAUGAUUUAGUGAGGUCUUCGGACCGAUACCCGGAGCGGCCUUUCGGUUGCGCCGGUGUGUUGGAAAGAUGACCAAA